rnacentral:rRNA from 1 species
UGGGGAAUAUUGCACAAUGGGGGGAACCCUGAUGCAGCGACGCCGCGUGGGUGAAGAAGUAUUUCGGUAUGUAAAGCCCUAUCAGCAGGGAAGAAAGAAGACGGUACCUGACUAAGAAGCACCGGCUAAAUACGUGCCAGCAGCCGCGGUAAUACGUAUGGUGCAAGCGUUAUCCGGAUUUACUGGGUGUAAAGGGAGCGCAGGCGGCGCGGCAAGUCUGAUGUGAAAGCCCGGGGCCCAACCCCGGUACUGCAUUGGAAACUGCCGUGCUUGAGUGUCGGAGGGGUAAGUGGAAUUCCUAGU